AGCGAACGCUGGCGGCAGGCCUAACACAUGCAAGUCGAACGAAGUCUUCGGACUUAGUGGCGGACGGGUGAGUAACACGUGGGAACGUGCCUUUAGGUUCGGAAUAACUCAGGGAAACUUGUGCUAAUACCGAAUGUGCCCUUCGGGGGAAAGAUUUAUCGCCUUUAGAGCGGCCCGCGUCUGAUUAGCUAGUUGGUGAGGUAAUGGCUCACCAAGGCUACGAUCAGUAGCUGGUCUGAGAGGAUGACCAGCCACAUUGGGACUGAGACACGGCCCAAACUCCUACGGGAGGCAGCAGGGGGGAAUCUUGCGCAAUGGGCGAAAGCCUGACGCAGCCAUGCCGCGUGGAUGAUGAAGGUCUUAGGAUUGUAAAAUCCUUUCACCGGUGAAGAUAAUGACUGUAGCCGGAGAAGAAGCCCCGGCCAACUUCGUGCCAGCAGCCGCCGUAAUAC
rnacentral:rRNA from 1 species